CACGUAGGGCGCAAGCGUUGUCCGGAAUUAUUGGGCGUAAAGAGCUCGUAGGCGGUCUGUUGCGUCCGCUGUGAAAACUCGGGGCUUAACCCCGAGCCUGCAGUCGAUACGGGCAGACUAGAGUGCGGUAGGGGAGACUGGAAUUCCUGGUGUAGCGGUGAAAUGCGCAGAUAUCAGGGGGAACACCGGUGGCGAAGGCGGGUCUCUGGGCCGUAACUGACGCUGAGGAGCGAAAGCGUGGGGAGCGAACAGG
rnacentral:rRNA from 1 species